CUCGGGUCCCCUUCCACACCGUGGAAGGUUUGUUCUUUCGCUCUUUGCAAUAAAUCUUGCUACUGCUCACUCUUUGGGUCCACACUGCAUUUAUGAGCUGUAACACUCACCGUCGACGGUCUGCAGCUUCACUCCUGAAGCCAGCGAGACCAGGAGCCCAGCGGGAGGAACGAACAACUCCAGACGCGCGGCCUUAAGAGCUGUAACGCUCACUGCGAAGGUCUGCAGCUUCACUCCUGAGCCAGCGAGACCACGAACCCACCAGAAGGAAGAAACUCCGAACACAUCUGAACAUCAGAAGGAACAAACUCCUGACACACCGCCUUUAAGAACUGUAACACUCACCGCGAGGGUCCGCGGCUUCAUUCUUGAAGUCAGUGAGACCAAGAACCCACCAAUUCCGGACACAAUAGUUCCAGGCUCUGUUAUUGUGGCUAAUAAUAUAUGGCCUAGGUUGACAGUAUGGCACUUCUGAGUGUAAGUUAUGAAAAAUGGUGGCUUUCAUCUAGGUCUCUGGAUCUCUCUCUCUAUCACUUUAUCUGGCAAGCUGCUGUGUUUUAAGCAGCCCUCUGGAGAAACCUUUAUGAUAAGGAAGUAUAGUAUUAUACUAUCUGGCCAGUAGCCAGAGAAGAAUUGAGAUCUCCCAACAACCAUGUGACUGAACUUGGAAGCAGACCCUUCUUUCCCAGUUGAAUCUUCUUGAGAUGUCUGGAGCCCUGGCUAACAGCUUAAUAACCUCAAGAGAGAAUCUGGGCAAGAACAACUCAGGUAAGCCAUUCCUGGAUACCUGACCCUUGAAACUAUGAACUAAUAAAUAUUUGUUGAUUUAAAGCUGCUAAAUUUGAGGUUAGUUGUUACACAGCAAUAGAUAGCGAAAGCAACCAUGAUAAGAAAAGUUGUAUUUAAGUUGUAGAAUUUCAGGUUUCUUUUAGAAUUACCUCCAAUCAAUAUCCUCUAGUAAAACUGGAUUUAUCUUAAGCAUAGUACAAACAUUAAAGAUAAAAUUACAUUUCAGUCUUUACUUUUUAUUUUAUUUACUGAAAAGGGUGGUAUUGCACAUUCUGUAAUAUAAGCAAUUACCAUUUCUACAUAUGAUAAGUACAUUUCAUUAACUAGCAGGGUAUUUGAAUACCAUUUACGACAUUGUGUAUGAAAAAAUGCAUUCCAAGUUUUGGGCUUGCUAUAUAAUCCAUUUUUACUUGUCAACUUCCUAUAUAUGUCUAUCAAAAAAAUCAUAUAAAAAAAUUUUAGGCUUUGAUUACCUUGACAGGAUAACUGUCAGUCUUGUCUCAGGUAAAUGAGUAAAAACAAUCUAUAAACUGAGAAAGACUACUUUCCUAGUUCAUAUUUAAACAUAAGAAACAAUAAUUGUCUCUUGAGAUUUUUAUAAUUAGGUUAUAGCACAGUUACAGUAGUUCAGUGGAGAAUGUCAAAGCAAGUUCUAAAUUAGUUUAGCAAAAAUUAACAAAUCAAUAAAUUUUUAAAAUCAAAUUACAAUAAACAUACUAAGACAAUGGGUUGCCUAACUGUUAAUAAAUAUGCUUCUCUCUUCAUAACAUAUUAUAAAAACAAAAAAUAACAAUUUUAUGCCUAGUUAAUUUUUUGGAAAGUUUAAGUCAUGGAAAGCCAUAGAAAGCCAUUUAUGGAUGGUCAUAUUGAUUAUAUAAUCAAUUUUAAUAAUAUCAAGAUUGCCUUGUGAUUUAAACAAACUAGUAAAGUUAAAUAGGCAUAUAAAAUAAUUUCCAUAACAGGAAUAUACAAUGUGAGCAUAUUAUUUAGUUAUUUUGAUAAUAUUCUUAGGGUAACUAUGAAUGGCAAGUACAUCGUUGAGUUUACUUCAAGACUAUUAUACAGAAUAUUAUUAGUGCUUUUAUGAUCAUAAAUAUAGUUCCUGUCAUAAGAAUAUAUGAUAUGUAUUAGAUAAAUUUCUGCUAAAGCGCGAUUUCAUUUCCGUAUCCAAAGAGUCUUACAUUUUCUGACUUUUUUUUGAAGUUAAAAAAAUUCUUUUUAUUACUUCUAUGAUCCUUUGUCCAUCAUGUUGUUGAUUCAUCUUCUGUAACAAUUCUCUUUUCCACCUCCUCACUAAAUUCUGUGAAUCAGGAUCAAAGACAAAGAUGUCUGAACUAGUGAAAGAAAUGUAUGAUAUUUUAACCAAUUGAAGAAAACUCAUUGAUACCCUCUAUGGUUUUUUCAAAUAACUAGGUCAUUAAGGAUCAUAAAUCAUAAAGUACCCUUGCUAGAAAAAAUCGGGUAUCUGUUAAGCAAAAAUCCAUGUUCAUUAGUCCAUGAUCCUAUAUGCAAUCAAGUUCAGGUAAUCUAUUUUUAGAUAAAGGAUAUGAAAACUCUAUGUUGGGACAUAAUGCUGUUGGGAAAAGGACACGCAAAAAUGAAACAUUGAAGGCAAUUUGACCUCUAAAAUGUGAUUAGUAAGAUGAACUCUACCUUGCAGAUUUUAGCAGGGAAAUGUGGUGAGCACAUGUAAGACUUUCAAAGGAAAGGAAGUUCAUACAGCUGUUUGACUGUGAGAAUUAGAUAAACUAUAGUCAUAAAACAUAAACCCUUUUACUUCCUGAAUUCAAUUCAGUUUGAUUCAUUUCAGCAAAUAUUUAUUGAGUCCACAUUAUUUGUCUGUCAAUAUUUAAUAGCUUAGAAUCAUAAUCUUUGGGUUAGAUAAGAGCUUAAAGGUCCUCUAAUCCAAGAUUCUUCCCAAAGGAAGAAUUUGGGUAUGGAUUUUUGUUAUGAAGUGAUAUUUCUUGGAGUCUUUUCAUUAAAAGUAGUCAGGAAACAGAGUCCAGAGAUGGCUGCCUACCCAAACUCUUUCCCAAAUUUCUUGCAUUUCAAAGUAAGUGUCCUCAGAACUUUUCUUGAUUACAUAUUGAGCAGAUUAUUUCUGGAAAUGUAUAGCCUAAACUGGAACUGGAAUACUUAUUUCUUGGAAGAUUGCUGUUCCUGCCUCCACUCCCCCAGGAAAACCUGGACUUCUUGUCAAUCCUUUGUUAUUUCUUUCUAAAGGUUUAUAAGCUAAUGCUAACUCUUGAUCCCUCUACAAGAGGGUCUGAGGCCAGCCUUCUCUUAGGUGAUUUUGCUUUUUCAUUGCCUCCUCAGUAAUGGCUUUGGGUAGAGCAUGAGAUUCUUACCUUGCUUAGUAGCCACCUUGAACUUUAUACUGACUAUCUGAGGGAAGUCCUUAAUUCUACAGUCAUCAAGUUCAUCAGUGAUUUGAUGCUAAGGAGGGAUUCUUUUACCGUUAGGAGCUGACACAGCUGGAAGAGAAAACAUCUAAUGAGCACCUGUUCAUUAGGACCAGAACAGGACCAGAAGUCCUGUUCUCUUCUGUGUCAGAAUGUGGGGGAGUGCUUCCUUGAGAACAUCGUAGAGAGAUGUGGGUGUUUAGGUUUGCUUUGCAGUGGAUGCUUAAGUUUCUGUAUCUUGCCACUUCUACAGUGCCUUUUGGAGAACUCACUGGCAGGAGGGGAUAAUCUUGAAGUAAAUAUAUAGGAUAAUAAGGUACAUUUAUUGUUAGAUAUAUACCUUUGUUAUCAACCAUAAGAUUAAGUCUAAGAUGUUUGUAAGAAACAUGAUCUGGGCAGGGUGUAGUGGCUCAUGACUGUAAUCCUAGUACUUUGGGAAGCACAAGCGAGAGGAUUGCUUAUGUGCAGGAGUUCAAGACCAGCCUGGGGAACAUAGAGAGAACUGUGUCUCAACAAAAAAUUAAAAAAUUAGCCGGGCAAUGGUGGCGCCUGCCUGUGGUCUCAGCUACUCGGCAUUCUGAGGUGGGAGGAUCACUUGAGCCCAGGAGGUCGAGGCUGCAGUGAGCCCUGAUUGCACCACUGGACGCCAGCCUGGGCAACACUAUGUGAUCUUUUCUCAAACAAGAAAAGAAAAAAGAAAAAAAGAAACAUUAUCUGUAUGGAGAUUUGGUGGAGCAGGCUCAGUUAAAAGUAUAUCAGAGAUACGCUGUCUUUGCCAUUCACAGUCAUUAAACAGAAUAGGUGUCACUGUUAUUUUGCCAACUAUAGACUAAGUCUAAAAUACAAUUUGAAAAUUAUAUAACAAGAGAGAUGAUUGGAUAUAGUAAUUAUUAUUUUUUAUUUUUAAAAUAAAGAUAGAAACAAAAGCAAGUUCACCAUGUAAAAUGAUUCUUUUCAUUUAGAGACAUUUGAGAUUCCCAUACAAUUGGUACAAGAGAGAUUUACUGAGAAAUUUUAACCAAUUGAUUUUAUGUUGCAAUUUAAAAAAUCAUAUAAGGAAAUUGUAUUACUAAUAAGUUUUCAUUUUUUUUAGCUGUGUAUUCUGACAUUUUCUAUUCUAAAAUAAAUCUCUCACUC